rnacentral:rRNA from 1 species
GACGAACGCUGGCGGCGUGCUUAACACAUGCAAGUAGAACGGAAAGGCCCUGCUUUUCUGGGGUGCUUGAGUGGCGAACGGGUGAGUAACGCGUGAGUAACCUGCCCUUUACUUUGGGAUAACUUCAGGAAACUGGGGCUAAUACCGGAUAAGAGCACCUGCUGCAUGGCGGGGGUUGAAAAGGUUCGGUGGUUGGGGUUGGACUUGGGGCUUCUCAGCUUGUUGGUGGGGUCGUGGCUUACGUAGGCUGUGACGGGGAGACGGUCUGAGUGGGUGACCGGCCACAUUGCGACGGGGAGCCGGCGUAGGGUCCUAUCGGAGGCAGCAGUGAGGAAUACUGCACAACGCGCGGUAGGUGGAGGCAGCAUCGGCGCGGUCGGGAUGUCGGCUUUCGGAUGGUAAACCGCUUGCGCCGGUGACGAAGCGUGAGUGACGGUAAUGGGUGAAGAAGCACCGGCUAACUACG